UGCCAGCCGCCGCGGUAAUACGGAGGGUGCAAGCGUUAAUCGGAAUUACUGGGCGUAAAGCGUGCGUAGGUGGUUUAUUAAGUCAGAUGUGAAAGCCCCGGGCUUAACCCGGGAACUGCAUUUGAAACUGGUAAACUAGAGUACGAUAGAGGGUGGUAGAAUUUCUUGUGUAGCAGUGAAAUGCGUAGAUAUGAGAAGGAAUACCAGUGGCGAAGGCGGCCACCUGGAUCGAUACUGACGCUGAGGUGCGUAAGCGUGGGGAGCAAACGGGAUUAGAUA
rnacentral:rRNA from 1 species